rnacentral:tRNA from 1 species
GCGGGUAUGGCGUAAUUGGUAGCCGCGCAAGACUUAGGAUCUUGUGCCGUGAGGCGUGAGGGUUCGAGUCCCCCUACCCGCA